rnacentral:rRNA from 1 species
UACGGAGGGUGCAAGCGUUGCUCGGAAUCACUGGGCGUAAAGCGACCGCAGGCGGUCUGACAAGUCGGAUGUGAAAGCCUGGGCUCAACUCAGGAAUAGCAUUCGAAACUGGCAGACUUGAGUACGGGAGAGGGGGGUGGAAUUCCUGGUGUAGGGGUGAAAUUCGUUGAUAUCAGGAGGAACACCGGCGGCGAAGGCGGCCCCCUGGCCCGCAACUGACGCUCAUGGUCGAAAGCGUGGGGAGCAAACAGG